rnacentral:rRNA from 1 species
AGUGAACGCUGGCGGUAGGCCUAACACAUGCCAGUCGAGCGGCAGCACAGUAAGAGCUUGCUCUUACGGGUGGCGAGUGGCGGACGGGUGAGGAAUACAUCGGAAUCUACUUUUUCGUGGGGGAUAACGUAGGGAAACUUACGCUAAUACCGCAUACGACCUACGGGUGAAAGCAGGGGAUCUUCGGACCUUGCGCGAUUGAAUGAGCCGAUGUCGGAUUAGCUAGUUGGCGGGGUAAAGGCCCACCAAGGCGACGAUCCGUAGCUGGUCUGAGAGGAUGAUCCGCCACACUGGAACUGAGACACGGUCCAGACUCCUACGGGAGGCAGCAGUGGGGAAUAUUGGACAAUGGGCGCAAGCCUGAUCCAGCCAUACCGCGUGGGUGAAGAAGGCCUUCGGGUUGUAAAGCCCUUUUGUUGGGAAAGAAAAGCAGCAGGUUAAUACCCCGCUGUUCUGACGGUACCCAAAGAAUAAGCACCGGCUAACUUCGU